UCCACCUCCGGCGGCCUCCCCUUCGCCUCCUUCACCGCCGCCGCCCCCGCCGCCGCCGCGGCCGGCGACGGCGCCGGUUUGAAGCACGCCAUCCACCGCCCGCUCCCGCUCCCCGACGCCGGCGCCUCCGAGGAGCGGAGGCGCAGCCUCGCGACGGCGCGCGGCCACCGCGAGGACUGAGCCCCGGUGGCCGGAGUCGCGGCGCUGCCCAUCGAGACGGGGCCGGCGGCGAUCAUCCGGCGACGGAGGAGGGGAGGCUGUACCGGCCGCGUAGACCCAGAUGCGGCGUGUGGACCGACCGGUGUCUAGUGGUGGUUACUUCGCGGGGAAGGUGGGGGCCCGAGGGAACGUGGAGAUGAGGAGGGAGGAGAAGCUUCGGGGCGAGGGCGAGG
rnacentral:lncRNA from 1 species